rnacentral:rRNA from 1 species
GACGAACGCUGGCGGCGUGCUUAACACAUGCAAGUCGAACGGAAAGGCCCUGCUCUUGUGGGGUGCUUGAGUGGCGAACGGGUGAGUAACACGCGAGUAACCUGCCCUUGACUUUGGGAUAACUUCAGGAAACUGGGGCUAAUAUCGGAUAGGAGCUCCUGCUGCAUGGUGGGGGUUGGAAAGUUUCGGCGUUUGGGGUUGGACUCGCGGCUUAUCCGCUUGUUGGUGGGGUAGUGGCUUACCAAGGCUUGGACGGGUAGCCGGCCUGGGAGGGUGACCGGCCACAUUGGGACUGGGGUGGGGCCCAGACGCAUACGGGAGGCAGGAGUGGGGAAUAUUGCACGAUGGGCGGAGGCAGGAUGCAGGAUCGCCGGGUGCGAGAUGACGGCCUUCGGGUUGUAACCCGUUUUCGCGUGUGACGAAGCGUGAGUGACGGUAAUGGGUAAAGAGGCACCGGCUAACUACGU